rnacentral:lncRNA from 1 species
GCCUAACAAGGUGAAGUUCUUUUUUAUGCCUAACUGUACCAUGUCCAAGCGUGAAUUUAAUCCUUCCUUUGUCUUAUCUUUCAUGUCCAACAAGGUGCCAAUUAUGCUUUCAAACAUGUUCUUCUGAACGUGCAUACCAUCGAUCGCGUGGCGUACGUCUAACUCUGGUCAGUAUUCCAAAUACUCAAAGAAAAUCGACUUCUUCUUGAAUGUAGCCCCUGGAGCUGGUUUGACAUUCUUUCUUGGUUUUGCAUCUUUUGUCUUCUUCCCAAAAACAAAUUUGAGUUUGCUGACUAUGCUGAAAAAUCUUUGGCCUUUACUGUUACCUGA